rnacentral:rRNA from 1 species
UACAGAGGGUGCGAGCGUUAAUCGGAAUUACUGGGCGUAAAGCGCGCGUAGGCGGCUUUGCAAGUCGGGUGUGAAAUCCCCAGGCUUAACCUGGGAACUGCAUUCGAGACUGCAUUGCUAGAGUAUGGGAGAGGGAAGUGGAAUUCCCUGUGUAGCGGUGAAAUGCGUAGAGAUGGGGGGAGAACACUCGUGGCGAAGGCGGCCAGCUAGACCAGUUCUGACACUGAGGCGCGAUAGCGUGGGGGAGCAAACAGG